CCCUUAACUAUUAAAAGUUUCGUUUUGGUCCUUUAACUUACUUUUUGGUUUCGUUUUGGUCCCUUAACUCUUCCUCCGUCAACCACUUUGGUCCUUUAUGUUAGGAUGAAUGUAUUAGAGUUAAGGGACCAAAAUGAAACCAAAAAAUAAGUUAAGAGACCAAAACGAAACCAAAAAAUAAGUUAAGGGACCAAAACAAAACUUUUAAUAGUUAAGGGACCAAAAUAAAACCCAAAAAUAAGUUAUGGGACCGAAACGAAACUUUUAAUAGUUAAGGAA
rnacentral:pre_miRNA from 1 species